CAACGGGUGGCUGCAGUGGGGAAUAUUGGACAAUGGGCGAAAGCCUGAUCCAGCCAUGCCGCGUGUGUGAAGAAGGCCUUCGGGUUGUAAAGCACUUUCAGUGGGGAAGAAAGCCUUGGGGCUAAUACCCUCGAGGAAGGACAUCACCCACAGAAGAAGCACCGGCUAACUCCGUGCCAGCAGCCGCGGUAAUACGGAGGGUGCGAGCGUUAAUCGGAAUUACUGGGCGUAAAGCGCGCGUAGGCGGUCUGAUAAGCCGGUUGUGAAAGCCCCGGGCUCAACCUGGGAACGGCAUCCGGAACUGUCAGGCUAGAGUGCAGGAGAGGAAGGUAGAAUUCCCGGUGUAGCGGUGAAAUGCGUAGAGAUCGGGAGGAAUACCAGUGGCGAAGGCGGCCUUCUGGACUGACACUGACGCUGAGGUGCGAAAGCGUGGGUAGCAAACAGGAUUAGAUACCCUAGUAGUC
rnacentral:rRNA from 1 species